rnacentral:rRNA from 1 species
GCAACGCCGCGUGAGUGAUGAAGGUUUCGGAUCGUAAAGCUCUGUUGUUAGGGAAGAACAAGUACCGUUCGAAUAGGGCGGGACCUUGACGGUACCUAACCAGAAAGCCACGGCUAACUACGUGCCAGCAGCCGCGGUAAUACGUAGGUGGCAAGCGUUGUCCGGAAUUAUUGGGCGUAAAGGGCUCGCAGGCGGUUUCUUAAGUCUGAUGUGAAAGCCCCCGGCUCAACCGGGGAGGGUCAUUGGAAACUGGGGAACUUGAGUGCAGAAGAGGAGAGUGGAAUUCCACGUGUAGCGGUGAAAUGCGUAGAGAUGUGGAGGAACACCAGUGGCGAAGGCGACUCUCUGGUCUGUAACUGACGCUGAGGAGCGAAAGCGUGGGGAGCGAACAGGAUUAGAUACCCUGGUAGUCCACGCCGUAAACGAUGAGUGCUAAGUGUUAGGGGGUUUCCGCCCCUUAGUGCUGCAGCUAACGCAUUAAGCACUCCGCCUGGGGAGUACGGUCGCAAGACUGAAACUCAAAGGAAUUGACGGGGGCCCGCACAAGCGGUGGAGCAUGUGGUUUAUUUCGAAGCAACGCGAAGAACCUUACCAGGUCUUGACAUCCUCUGACAAUCCUAGAGAUAGGACGUCCCCUUCGGGGGCAGAGUGACAGGUGCUGCAUG